rnacentral:rRNA from 1 species
AUUGAACGCUGGCGGCAGGCUUAACACAUGCAAGUCGAGCGGGGUGAUGGUGCUUGCACUAUCACUUAGCGGCGGACGGGUGAGUAACGCUUAAGAAUCUGCCUAUUAGUGGGGGACAACAUCUCGAAAGGGAUGCUAAUACCGCAUACGUCCUACGGGAGAAAGCAGGGGAUCUUCGGACCUUGCGCUAAUAGAUGAGCCUAAGGCGGAUUAGCUAGUUGGUGGGGUAAAGGCCUACCAAGGCGACGAUCUGUAGCGGGUCUGAGAGGAUGAUCCGCCACACUGGGACUGAGACACGGCCCAGACUCCUACGGGAGGCAGCAGUGGGGAAUAUUGGACAAUGGGGGGAACCCUGUUCCAGCCAUGCCGCGUGUGUGAAGAAGGCCUUAUGGUUGUAAAGCACUUUAAGCGAGGAGGAGGCUACUCUAGUUAAUACCUAGGGAUAGUGGACGUUACUCGCAGAAUAAGCACCGGCUAACUCUGUGCCAGCAGCCGCAGUAA